UUAACUACCCCAUUAGAAAUUAUUAUGCCUCAAUCGUGGUUUUUUGCUAAUCAUAAAAGCUUUUGCAUUUGAGAGCGCCAUCUCUUACCGAGUAGAGGAAGCAAUUGUGGUUCAUUUCUUUUCAUUUCGGCACUCACGAUCGAGAUCUCAUUACCCUGGCCGUGGCUAUCCGUAAAAUUGUUAAAAGAUGGGCAAAGCGUGUCUUAAACCAAAAUUUGGUGCAAUAGAAAAAUGGGAAAGAAACGGGAAAACCCGAUCGUAUCCACUCAAUGUGUGUGAUAAGGAUGCCCCUAUUGAUUGCCAUAUGAGAAAAGGAGAUGUAAUGACGAUUCUAUCACACGGAUGUCGUUCGUGUAGCAAGAAUUUGCUGUAGAAAUGUUCUACAUCGGGGAUUAGAAUAUUCAAGUGGAGACUGUUGGCCAGUUAAGUUCAGCGGAUGCAAGUCAGUGAAAGUGUGAUUAGUGGUGCGACUAGUGGUGCGAUUAAAGUCAAUCUAUAUUCGUGAGCCGCAACGUUACAUUAGGUUCGCAAGUGGUUAGCACGUGCUUUCUGCUGACCAAAGUCGAAAGCUUAGCCAAUUCCAAGCUUUUGAAGUCGCACACCGAUCAAUAAAAUCUAGUUCGCAAAAAAGAUCAGGCGAAAACCCACUGUUCAACGUGGGAGCGAGUCUGGAGCGGUUUCUGGAGCGGCGCGAGACCGAAUUCGCGGCUCGAAACAUCCGUUCGAGGUUAGGUUGAACCACCCUAACCACGUGACUGGGCGUCACUCAUUGGGAAAACCGACGCCACCCCGUAGUGAACGCAGGGAUCUCCACAAAAACAUCGCGCGAAGCAAGCACCCGACGCUCGCAAGCAACUGGAGCGCACCUCGUGGCGGUGCUACGAACUAACGCACUGCUCGACCGGAAGUGUGUCUCCGCUACGUCAAUCGCCAACCUCCAAAAUUGUGGUGAAAAACGUCGCCGCGGGAGUGUCCGUGCUGUUGGAUUACGCACGCGCGUGGUGAGUCCACCUGGUCGACCGACCGUACGCGUGAACGUGGGACUACGCGAAAACUGUCUACAAAGAACCUGUUCAUGCUUCCUGUCCUGCCGAUCCUGCCAGCCAGCUGAAUCGCGGUGGAACCGCCAAACAAG